GGACUACUAGGGUUUCUAAUCCUGUUUGCUCCCCACGCUUUCGCACCUCAGCGUCAGUAUUGGCCCAGGUCGCCGCCUUCGCCACUGGUGUUCCUCCCGAUAUCUACGAAUUUCACCUCUACACCGGGAAUUCCGCGACCCUCUUCCAUACUCAAGCCAUUCAGUUUCGAGUGCUCUUCCUGGGUUGAGCCCAGGGCUUUCACACCCGACUUAGAUGACCGCCUACGUGCGCUUUACGCCCAAUGAUUCCGAGCAACGUUUGCACCCUCCGUAUUACCGCGGCUGCUGGCAC
rnacentral:rRNA from 1 species